AGAGUUUGAUCCUGGCUCAGGACGAACGCUGGCGGCGCGCCUAACACAUGCAAGUCGAACGGAGCUUAGAGAGCUUGCUUUUUAAGCUUAGUGGCGAACGGGUGAGUAACGCGUGAGUAACCUGCCCUAGAGUGGGGGACAACAGUUGGAAACGACUGCUAAUACCGCAUAAGCCCACGGUACCGCAUGGUACUGAGGGAAAAGGAUUUAUUCGCUUUAGGAUGGACUCGCGUCCAAUUAGCUAGUUGGUGAGGUAACGGCCCACCAAGGCGACGAUUGGUAGCCGGACUGAGAGGUUGAACGGCCACAUUGGGACUGAGACACGGCCCAGACUCCUACGGGAGGCAGCAGUGGGGGAUAUUGCACAAUGGGGGAAACCCUGAUGCAGCGACGCCGCGUGGAGGAAGAAGGUUUUCGGAUUGUAAACUCCUGUCGUUAGGGACGAUAAUGACGGUACCUAACAAGAAAGCACCGGCUAACUACGUGCCAGCAGCCGCGGUAAAACGUAGGGUGCAAGCGUUGUCCGGAAUUACUGGGUGUAAAGGGAGCGCAGGCGGGAAGACAAGUUGGAAGUGAAAUCUAUGGGCUCAACCCAUAAACUGCUUUCAAAACUGUUUUUCUUGAGUAGUGCAGAGGUAGGCGGAAUUCCCGGUGUAGCGGUGGAAUGCGUAGAUAUCGGGAGGAACACCAGUGGCGAAGGCGGUCUACUGGGCACCAACUGACGCUGAGGCUCGAAAGCAUGGGUAGCAAACAGGAUUAGAUACCCUGGUAGUCCAUGCCGUAAACGAUGAUUACUAGGUGUUGGAGGAUUGACCCCUUCAGUGCCGCAGUUAACACAAUAAGUAAUCCACCUGGGGAGUACGACCGCAAGGUUG
rnacentral:rRNA from 1 species